UGAUAUUGAAUACAAUUACUCCAAUACAUACAAUCAACCGCAAGAAAAGAAAAGGAUGCUCCCCUAGUUGCUUGAAUCAUAUAAUGGAGAUAACAGAGAGAGAGGGAGUGAAUAGAGAAAUGAAAGAUUAGGGAUGAAAGAAGUACAGAGAGAGAGAGAGAUCAGAAAGAUUAAAAAAGAGAAGGAAGGAAUUUAUCAGGAAUGUCUUAAAA
rnacentral:lncRNA from 1 species